AUUGAACGCUGGCGGAAUGCUUUACACAUGCAAGUCGAACGGCAGCACGGACUUCGGUCUGGUGGCGAGUGGCGAACGGGUGAGUAACAUAUCGGAACGUAUCCAAUAAUGGGGGAUAACUAAUCGAAAGGUUGGCUAAUACCGCAUACGCCCUACGGGGGAAAGCUAGGGACCUUCGGGCCUGGCGUUAAUGGAGCGGCCGAUAUCUGAUUAGCUAGUUGGUGAGGUAAAGGCUCACCAAGGCGACGAUCAGUAGCUGGUCUGAGAGGACGACCAGCCACACGGGAAUUGAGACACGGUCCAGACUCCUACGGGAGGCAGCAGUGGGGAAUUUUGGACAAUGGGCGCAAGCCUGGUCCAGCCAUUCCGCGUGAGUGAAGAAGGCCUUCGGGUUGUAAAGCUCUUUCGCAAGGGAAGAAAACUUACCCUCUAACAUAGGGUGAGGUUGACGGUACCUUGAUAAGAAGCACCGGCUAACUACGUGCCAGCAGCCGCCGCCGUAA
rnacentral:rRNA from 1 species